rnacentral:rRNA from 1 species
AUUGAACGCUGGCGGCAGGCCUAACACAUGCAAGUCGAGCGGAUGAAGGGAGCUUGCUCCUGGAUUCAGCGGCGGACGGGUGAGUAAUGCCUAGGAAUCUGCCUGGUAGUGGGGGAUAACGUCCGGAAACGGGCGCUAAUACCGCAUACGUCCUGAGGGAGAAAGUGGGGGAUCUUCGGACUUCACGCUAUCAGAUAACCCUAGGUCGGAUUAGCUAGUUGGUGGGGUAAAGGCCUACCAAGGCGACGAUCCGUAACUGGUCUGAGAGGAUGAUCAGUCACACUGGAACUGAGACACGGUCCAGACUCCUACGGGAGGCAGCAGUGGGGAAUAUUGGACAAUGGGCGAAAGCCUGAUCCAGCCAUGCCGCGUGUGUGAAGAAGGUCUUCGGAUUGUAAAGCACUUUAAGUUGGGAGGAAGGGCAGUAAGUUAAUACCUUGCUGUUUUGACGUUACCAACAGAAUAAGCACCGGCUAACUUCGUG